rnacentral:rRNA from 1 species
UACGGAGGGUGCAAGCGUUAUCCGGAUUCACUGGGUUUAAAGGGUGCGUAGGUGGGCAGGUAAGUCAGUGGUGAAAUCUCUGGGCUUAACCCGGAAACUGCCGUUGAUACUAUCUGUCUUGAAUAUAGUGGAGGUGAGCGGAAUAUGUCAUGUAGCGGUGAAAUGCUUAGAUAUGACAUAGAACACCAAUUGCGAAGGCAGCUUACUACGGAUGUAUUGACACUGAGGCACGAAAGCGUGGGGAUCAAACAGG